rnacentral:rRNA from 1 species
GUAACACGUGGACAAUCUGACCUAUGGAAGGGGAUAAUCCCGGGAAACUGGGGAUAAUACCCUAUAGACUAUGGAUGCUGGAAUGCACUGUAGUCGAAAGGUCCGCCGCCAUAGGAUGGGUCUGCGGCCGAUUAGGUAGUUGUUGGGGUAACGGCCCAACAAGCCUGUAAUCGGUACGGGUUGUGGGAGCAAGAGCCCGGAGAUGGAUUCUGAGACACGAAUCCAGGCCCUACGGGGCGCAGCAGGCGCGAAAACUUUACAAUGCGGGAAACCGUGAUAGGGGAACUCCGAGUGCCCGUAAAAUCGGGCUGUCCACCAGUUUAAACAACUGGUGAAGAAAGGGCCGGGCAAGACCGGUGCCAGCCGCCGCGGUAAUACCGGCGGCUCGAGUGGUGGCCACUAUUACUGGGCUUAAAGCGUUCGUAGCUGGUUUGUUAAGUCUCUGGGGAAAUCUUCCGGCUUAACCGGAAGGCGUCUCAGGGAUACUGGCAGACUAGGGACCGGGAGAGGUGAGGGGUACUCCAGGGGUAGGAGUGAAAUCCUGUAAUCCUUGGGGGACCACCUGUGGCGAAGGCGCCUCACCAGAACGGCUCCGACAGUGAGGGACGAAAGCUGGGGGAGCAAACCGGAUUAGAUACCCGGGUAGUCCCAGCUGUAAACGAUGCGCGUUAGGUGUAUCAGUGACCACGAGUCACUGAGGUGCCGAAGAGAAAUCGUGAAACGUGCCGCCUGGGAAGUACGGUCGCAAGGCUGAAACUUAAAGGAAUUGGCGGGGGAGCACCACAACAGGUGGAGCCUGCGGUUUAAUCGGACUCAACGCCGGGAAACUCACCAGUUAAGACAGCUGAAUGAUAGUCGGGCUGAAGACUCUACUUGACUAGCUGAGAGGAGGUGCAUGGCCGUCGUCAGUUCGUACUGUGAAGCAUCCUGUUAAGUCAGGCAACGAGCGAGACCCA